GUAGGUGGCAAGCGUUGUCCGGAAUUAUUGGGCGUAAAGCGCGCGCAGGCGGUCCUUUAAGUCUGAUGUGAAAGCCCACGGCUCAACCGUGGAGGGUCAUUGGAAACUGGGGGACUUGAGUUCAGAAGAGGAAAGCGGAAUUCCAAGUGUAGCGGUGAAAUGCGUAGAGAUUUGGAGGAACACCAGUGGCGAAGGCGGCUUUCUGGUCUGUAACUGACGCUGAGGCGCGAAAGCGUGGGGAGCAAACAGGGAUUAGAUACCCUGGUAGUCCACGCCGUAAACGAUGAGUGCUAAGUGUUAGGGGGUUUCCCGCCCCUUAGUGCUGCAGCUAACGCAUUAAGCACUCCGCCUGGGGAGUACGCCGCAAGGCUG
rnacentral:rRNA from 1 species